rfam:TPA: Bos taurus chromosome 26, whole genome shotgun sequence.
UCCCUGGUGGCUCAGAUGGUAAUGCGUCUGCCUACAAUGCAGGAGACCCUGGUUCAAUCCCUGGGUUGGGAA